rnacentral:lncRNA from 1 species
GUGUCUGUCAGCCAGUUUCCCAGCCCCUGGUGCACUGAAGCUCAGGCCUUUCCUGGCAUCCUGGCCUCCUGCACUGAGCUGUGUGAGUGCUUCUGCCCAGGCAGGCCACUUGGCAUUGACCGGUAUAGAUGGUGACCCUGAAGAAAGACUUCAGUUGGGCCUGAAGGCCCCGGGCCAGUGUCCAUCAUCCAGGUGCUCAGCUCCCAGUGCACUGAAGCUCAGACCCUUCCUGGUUCCCUGGUCUCUUGCACUGAGCUCUGAUGGUGAGACUUGAGGAAGACUUCCACUGGGCCUGCUUUUCCUGAGCCAGUGCCCAUCACCCAGGUGCUCAGUCCCUGGUGCACUGAAGCUCCAGCCCUUCCUGGCGCCCUGGUCUCCUGAACUGAGCUGUGUGAGCUCUUCUGCCAAGCGGUUCCCCUGGCAUUGACCAACAUAGAUGGUGAGCCUGGAGGAAGACUUGCGUUGGGCCCAAAGGCCCUAGACCAGUGUCUGUCAGCCAGGUUCCCAACCCCCGAUGCGCUGAAGCUCAAGCCUUUCCUGGCACCCUGGUCUCCUGCACUGAGCUGUGUGAGCUCUUCUGCCCAGGCGGGCCCCCUGGAAUUGAUGGGUAUAGAUGGUGACCCCGGAGGAAAAUUUGUGUUGGGCCCACUAUCCCUGGGCCAAUGUCAGUCAGCUAGGCACCCAGCCCCCAGUGCGCUGAAGCUCAGGACCUUCCUAGUGCCCUCGGCUCCUGCACUGAGCUCUGAUGGUAAGCCUGGAGGAAGACUUGUGUUGGGCCCACAGGCCCCAGGCCAAUGUCUGUCAGCCAGGUGCUCAGCCUCUGGUGCGCUGAAACUCUGACCCUUCCUGGCACACUGGUCUCCUGCACUGAGCUGGGAUUUUCCACCUAGGAGGUCCACCUGGCAUUGACUGACAUAGAUGGUGAGACUUCUGUCGGCCUCGCUUUUCCUGGGCCAGUGUCCAUCAGCCAGGUGCUCAGCCCCAGUGCACUGAAGCUCCAGCCCUUCCUGGCGCCCUGGACUGAGCUGUGUGAGCUCUUCUGCCAAGGGGGUCCUCCUGGCAUUGACCAACAUAGGUGGUGAGCCUGGAGGAAGACUUGCAUUGGGCCCAAUGGCCCUGGACCAGUGUCUGUCAGCCAGGUUCCCAGCCCCCGAUGCGCUGAAGCUCAAGCCUUUCCUGGCACCCUGGUCUCCUGCACUGAGCUGUGUGAGCUCUUCGGCCCAAGUGGUCCCCCCGGCCUUAAGCGGCAUAGAUGGUGAGCCUGGAGGAAGACUCGUGUUGGGCCCACAGGCCCCAGGCCAGUGUACGUCAGCCAGGUGCUCAGCCCAUGGUGUGCUGAAGCUCUGACCCUUCCUGACUCCGUGGUCUCCUGCACUGAGCUGUGAUGACCAUAUCCAGUGAGCUCUUCCAAACAGGUGGGCUCCCUAGCAUUGACCGACAGAGUGAGCUCUGCCACCCAGGACAUCCCCCUGGCAUUGACUGGCAUAGAUGCUGACCCUGGAGGAAGACUUGUGUCGGGCCCCCAGGCCCCAGGCCAGUGUCCAUCAGCCAGGUGCUCAGCUCCCAGUGCGCUGAAGCUCAGACCCUUCCUGGCACCCUGGUGUCCAGCACUGAGCUGUGUGAGCUUUUCCACCCAGGUGGGCCCCCUGGCAUUGACCGACAUAGAUGAUGAGACUGGAGGAAGACUUCCAUUGGGCCCACUUUUCCUGGGCCAGUGUCCAUCAGCCAGGUGCUCAGCCCCUGGUGUACUGAAGCUCCAGCCUUUCCUGGUGCCCCAGUCUUCUGCACUAAGCUGUGUGAGCUCUUCCACCCAGGAGGGCCCCUUGGCAUUGACUGGCAUAGAUGGUGAGACGGGAGGAAGACUUGUGUUGGGCCUGCUGUUCCUGGGCCAGUGGCCAUCAGCCUGUUGCCCAGCCCCUGAGGCGCUGAAGCUCAGGCCCUUCCUCACACCCUGGUCUCCUGCACUAGCUGUGUGAGCUCUUCUGCCCAGGUGGGGCCCAUGGCCUUACACGACAUAGGAGCACGCAUUUCUUGAAGUCCUGCAAAGGUGAUGGUGGUCCAGACAGGAGAGGGUUCCUUCAGCCCAACAUAGCGCAGCUCCCAGCUGAAACUCGGAAGGCUGGUCAGGCCUCGAGGACUGCCCAGGCCACAUGAGGGUUUGGUGGCCGGGAGGGCCAAUGAUGCUCUGCGUCUGUGUUGGAUCAGUGUUCUUCAUGGAUUCCAUCACAUGGUGAGCCUUGAGGAAGACUUGUAUUGGGCCCCCACAGGCCCCAGGCCAGUGUCCGUCAGCCUGGUGCUCACCCCCAGUGUGCUGAAGCUCAGACCCUCCGUGGCACCCUGGUCUCCUGCACUGAGCUGUGUGAACUUUUCCUCCCAGAUGGGCCCCCUGGCAUUGACUGGCAUAGAUGGUGAGACCGGAGGAAGACUUGCAUUGGGCCUGUUGUUCCUGGGCCAGUGGCCAUCAGCCUGUUGCCCAGCCCCUGAUGCGCUGAAGCUCGGGCCCUUCCUCGCGCCCUGGUCUCCUGCACUGAGCUGUGUGAGCUCUUCUGCCCAGGUGAGGCCCAUGGCCUUAAGCGGCAUAGAUGGUGAGCCUGGAGGAAGACUUGUAUUGGGACCCUACAGGCCCCAGGCCAGUGUCUGUCAGCCUGGUGCUCAUCCCCCAGUGCGCUGAAGCUCAGACCCUCCCUGGCACCCUGGUCUCCUGCACUGAGCUGUGAUGGUGAGUCUGGAGGAAGACUUGUGUUGGACCCCCACAGGCCCCAGGCCAGUGUCCAUCAGCCUGGUGCUAAUCCCCCAGUGCUCUGGAGUUUGGACCCUCCCUGGCACCCUGGUCUCCUGCACUGAGCUGUGUGAGCUCUUCCACCCGGGCGGGCCCCCGGCAUUGACUGGCAUAGGUGGUGAGCCCGGAGGAGGACUUGCGUUCGGCCCGCUGGUCCCAGUGUGUCCGGAAUUGGUGGGUUCUUGGUCUCACUGACUUCAAGAAUGAAGCUGCGGACCCUCGCUAUGAUGAUAUGGAAGAAAAGCACUCUUUGGCCUGUUGUGACUGGGACAGUUGACAGCACCCAGGUGUCCUUUAAUGAAAAUGCUCUUGACACCAAUGCAUCCUAGCAUCACAGCUUCAGGAAGCCUUCUCAAGUGUGCAUGGGGAGUACUAUGUCUUUCAUCAAUAAUGAAAUCUUCUGAUUUGUAAGACAUGCUGCCAAGAGAUGUGCCAUUCUAUUAUAAAAGAUCAGUAGCUUCCUUUACCGACGUGUAUAUUCUAUCUAGAACAUUGAGCUAUGGAAGACUCCCACCUAAGGGAAUUAGUUUUACACCUUCAGAUAAAGACUGCUGAGAAGAGCACCCUCUGGUGUUGUCACAGAGGCAAGUGCUACCGCACAGGCAUGCUGCAGUGAAUUUAACUGAUCCUCUGUCCCUGCAACCGUUGUUUAAGGAUGCUAUUCUGAAAAGACUGUGGAGGAAGAAAACCCUUUACCCUGUUGUUCAGGGAGAAACUGACACCACUCAACUGCCUGGCACUGAAAAUGUGGCAUCCAGUCCACUUUACCAUCAGUGUUUAAGGAAACCAUCUCUGAUAAGGAUGACUGAGGAAGAGUACUCUUUGGCUUGUUGACACCAGCACAGCUGACACACCCAGAUAUCUGUUUGGUCUCCUGUGAACUUUCAACCAGGAUUUAAGGAUGCCACUCUGGUUAAAAGCUGAAACAACUUCAAGGAAACUUCAGGGAAAAGAGAAGGCCUGGAAUCUGAUCCUCCACUUCAGAGAACAGGGUUCACUAAAAAAAUGAAUUUACAAGACAACUGGAAUAUAAGCAAUGAAUACAAGCACUAAGAAGAUGAAGCCAUAGAAACAGCUGCCAGAAAGUGAAGAUGUGACAGUGAACGCCAAACAAAGAAAAAAGUGCAUGUGAAAUACUACUACUUAUCCAUCUCCUGGCUCUGAGCAGUACAUGUCAGGAACAAGAGGGAAUUGUAGCUGGAAGACAGUAGAAGAGCCAUAGGACAAGUCUCUAAGAGAAGGAAGAAAAGGCGCAAUGAAAGAAAACAAGUUUAAGAUAGUAGAAAAGCAUUCAAAGACGGCAACCUGAGGUGGUGGAGUCUAUGGCCCUUCUCCUUGAAUCUGAGUGAAAUUAGUGAGUCUUUCAAUCCAAAGACUACAGUCAUACCUCAACUAUCUACAGAGGACUGGUUCCAGGACUCCCAUGGAUCCCAAAAUCCAAGGAUGCUUCGAAUCCCUUAUAUAAAAUGGCAUGGUAUUUGCAUAUAACCUACAUGCAUCUUCAAAUAUGUUAAACCAUCUCUAGAUUACUUAUAAUACCAAAUACAAUGUAAUGCUAUGUAAACAGUUGUUACAAUGUAUUGUCAAAGACAAGCUCUCCUUGCCAAUCCCUGACCAAAUGAGAGAUUCAUGAGCAAAAUAAAUAGUUGCUGAUAUUUAAGGCACUAAGUUUGGGGCAAUGUAUUACACAGCAAUAAAUAACUGGAACAGCAUAGUAAAUUCUAGUUAAAAAUACUAAACUACUAAGUUUUAGUUAACAUACAUGCUCAAGUUAAGGGUGUGGUAUACUAACAACUGCAACUUACUUUGAAAAGCAUAAAAAAAGACACUAGAAGAAGACAGGAUGGAUAGAUGGACAAGAUAGAAGACAAUAACAAAUAG